AUGGAGUCCUCCGCCUCCGGCGACGGCUCCUCUGCCACGACGGCUGCUGUUGCUGCGGCAGCAGCGGUGGCGUCGUCCUCAUCGGGCCCCUCCACCUCUGCCUCCGCCUUCUCCGCCGGUGUCUCGGGUGGGGCAAGCGCCACCCACUACCUCGCCAAACGCGUGCUCCAUGGCAGCGCCGUGCAGCACGUCGCCCGGGGCCACUUCCGCUCGGAGCACCUUUGGGAGAUCGUCCUCUGCAAGGGAACUUCACUUGAAUUAGUUGUGGUUGGUGAGGAUGGUGUUUUACAGUCAAUCUGCGAGCAAAGUACAUUUGGGAUUGUAAAAGAUGUUGGUGUCUUGGAUUGGCGCUUUAAACACUUCGGUAUCUGGCCUGAGAUUGAAGGGAAAGAAAUUCUGGUUCUACUCUCUGAUUCUGGAAAGCUUUCUCUUCUUUACUUCUGUUGUCAGAUGCAUAGGUUUAUUCCAAUUGGAAAUAUCGAGUUAUCUAAACCAGGAAAUAUGAGGGAUCAACUGGGAAGAAUUUUGGCUAUAGACCACGACUCUGCUUGGGUUGCUAUUAGUGCGUAUGAGGAUGCAUUUGCUGUUGUGCGUGUUGGAAGGACUCAGCAUGUUUAUGGUCCAAAUAAAGAAAUUGUAGAGAAGGCAAAAAUCGUGCAUGCUGUAUAUAAGACCAGUGAUAUCCGCGGUACGGUUUGGAGCAUGUGCUUCAUGAGGACUCGCUGCUCGAUGGAUGAAUAUUACCCAGUUGUGGCAAUGAUAAUUAACAGGAAGGGCUCUGAUGCGAAUGACUUGUCAAUGUAUGCACUAGCUGCCAACGAUGGUGGUAUCCAGUACCUAUCUGGUUACUCAGAACCCGGACCUUUGGCGCUUGAGAUCGCUGAAAUUCCUCAGCUGGAUGGCUUUGGACUUCUAUUUCGUGCUGGUGAUAUUCUAAUUGUGGAUCUUAGGGACCCAAAGGACAUCUGCUGUACCAUUAGAAUAAGCAUGACAGGCAGUCUGGUUGGAGAACAAAUCAGUGUUGAAGAUUCAUGUCGAGGAUUAGAUGUUGAUGACGAUGUUGCUGCUUGUGCUUUGCUAGAACUGAGAGAUUCUGGAAAUAACAUAAUGAUGGACGACAGUUACAUGGCUAUUGAUGGUGCUGAUAACCCAGGAAGCAUGAAAUCAAGGGUUAUUUGCUCAUGGAGCUGGGAGCCGGAUGCCAUGCGAGGACAACCGAGGCUGAUCUUUUGCUUGGAUGAUGGAGAAUUUCAUAUUCUGGAAUUUAAUUGGGAUACAGAAGGAUUGAAGGUAUUGCCUGAGCGUGUCCAUAGGGGUUUGCCUUGUAAACCUCUUUUAUGGAUGGACAGAGGAAUGAUAGCAGGGUUUGUAGAGAUGGGAGAUGGAAUGAUCCUUCAUCUUGAACAUGGUAGACUGGUGCAUAGAAGUACAGUUCAGAAUGUAGGACCAAUAUUGGAUUUAGCAAUUGCUGACUACCAUGGUGAGAAGCAGGAUCAGUUGUUUUCAUGUUGUGGAAUGUGCCCUGAGGGAUCAUUGCGUGUUAUAAGGAAUGGUGUCAAUGUGGAGAAACUUCUGAGGACUGAACCUAUUUAUCAGGGUGUUACUGGUUUGUGGACAUUGAGAAUGAAGAAAACUGAUACAUAUCACUCUUUUCUUGUAUUGGCAUUUGUUGAGGAAACAAGAAUACUAUCAGUUGGACUGAGUUUUAAUGACAUCAGUGAUGCUGUGGGAUUUCAGACUGAGGUUUGCACUUUGGCAUGUGGUUUAAUAGCUGAUGGUUUACUUGUGCAAAUUCACAGCAAAGGCGUAAAGCUUUGUUUGCCUACAUCAUAUGCUCACCCUGAGGGUGCCACCUUAACUUCUCCAGUUUGUGUUGACUGGUAUCCUGAUGUCACUAUCAGUGUUGGUGCUGUUGGACAUGAUGUUGUUGCUGUUGCUACAUCAAAUCCUUGUUGCCUAUAUAUUCUCAGGGUCAGACCAUUAUCUUCACUCCAGUACGAGUUGUAUGAGACACAGCAUGUCCAAUUGCAAUAUGAAGUAUCUUGCAUAUCCAUUCCGGAGGAGGACUUGAGACUUAGAACGUCAUCUUCUGCUUUUGGUGGUGAUUUUAGGAAGAGAAAAGGGAAUAAUUCUGCUGCUGAAGUUGAUGUUCGCAUGUUUGCUGUCAUUGGAACUCAUAAACCUUCUGUGGAAGUCAUCUCAUUGGAACCUGAUGAAGCAUUUAGGCUGCUCUCUAUUGGGUCUAUAUCAGUGAACAAUGCGCUCGGUGCUCCAGUUAGUGGCUGUAUACCCGAAAAUGUUCGUUUUGUAGCAUCUGAGAGGUUCUACAUUCUCGCAGGUCUAAGAAAUGGCAUGCUACUCAGGUUUGAGUCAGGAACAAGCAAAGACCAGUAUCUCCCUGGUUCCUUUUACAAGGAGUCUUUUGCACCUUCUCUUAAUGCUCUCCUUCAGUUGGUUGCUAUAAGGCACAUUGGAAUUACCCCUGUAGGCUUGGUACCAUUGCAUGAUUCAGCUAAUUCUGAUAUUAUUGUUCUCAGCGAUAGGUCUUGGCUAUUAUAUGCUAGUAGACACAGCUUGGCAUAUUCAUCCAUCUCAUUUCUGCCUGCGUCCCAUGUGACUCCAGUAUCUUCUGUGGAUUGCCCCAGCGGCCUGCUAUUUGUUGCAGAGAACUGUUUACAUUUGGUUGAAAUGGUUCAUGGCAAAAGAUUAAAUGCACAAAAGUUUUCAGUUGGAGGGACUCCAAGGAAAGUGCUAUACCACAGCGAUAGUAGAACACUGUUGGUUAUGAGAACUGGUUUAACUGGUGCAUCAUGUUCUUCAGAUAUUGUCCAAAUAGAUCCUAAUAAUGGGAUCUUGCUUUCCCGAUUCAAGUGUGAACUUGGUGAAACUGCAAAAUGCAUCCAGAUUGCGAAAAUAGGAAGUGAGCAAGUGUUAAUUGUUGGGACAAGUAAAUCUACUGACCGGCCAAUGAUGCCAAAUGGCGAAGCAGAAAGCAGUAUCAAAGGACGCCUAAUUGUUCUAAGUUUGGAUACUCUUGGAAGUCCUCAUGAGUGCAGUUCAUUUAUUCCGACUUCUAAUUUGAGUUCCUCUUCUCAUACGGGCUCAUUCCCUGAAAUUGUUGGAUAUGCAAAUGAAGAUUUCUCUAGCAACAGCAUGUGCAGCAGUCCUGAUGAUAUUUGCUACAAUCAGAUUCAAUUUGAACAAAUAGCAGGACACCUGAGAUCACUGACUCAUGUUACCUUCACUGGUGCAGUUCUUGCUGUAUAUCCAUAUCUAGAUCGAUAUGUGUUGGCAGCAGCUGGUAAUACGCUUUCUGUAUUUGGUUUUGUGAAUGAAAAUCCUCAUCGUAUGAAGAAGUAUGCUGUGAGUAGAACACGAUUUACUAUUACUUGUUUGAAGACAUAUGCAUCACAGAUUGCAGCGGGCGAUUGUCGUGAUGGUGUUCUCUUCUAUUCUUAUCACGAGAAUCUUAGGAAGUUGGAACUUGUUUAUGCUGAUCCUGCUCAACGAUUGGUGGGUGAUGUUGUCCUGUUAGACUGUGAAACUGCUGUUGUGUCAGAUCGUCGUGGUAGCAUAUCUGUAUUAUCCUGCCCUGGACUGGAAGUUUCUGAAAGUCCAGAAAAGAACUUAGCUGUACAAUGUUCAUUUUUUAUGGGCGAAAUAGCUAUGAGCAUCCAGAAGGCUGCAUUUAAGUAUCGGCUCCCUAUUGGUGAUGAGACAGACCCAGUGUUGGAAUCAGCUUACAACUGCGUUGUGGCGAGUACUUUGCUGGGGAGUGUCUUUGUUAUGAUUCCUCUCACCAGUGAGGAGCAUCAACUGUUGCAAGAUGUCCAAGAAAGACUUUCACUUCACCCGUUGACUGCUCCAAUCUUGGGAAAUGACCAUGCAGAGUUUCGUCGACGUGGUAUCCCGUCGGGAGUGCCUUCAAUUCUGGAUGGUGACAUGCUGGUGCAAUUCUUAGAGCUCACCAGUGAGCAACAGCAAACUGUUCUUGAUGAUGGGUCUUCAGUAAAGGCACCACACAGGUCUAUCCCCGUUUUCCAGGUCAUGCGAAUGUUGGAGCGGGUCCACUAUGCGCUGAACUGA
rnacentral:rRNA from 1 species